UCGACGUGUUAAAGGGUUGAUAUUCGGACACUGAUUUGCCCACAGCUUUGCAUCCCUCGGGCUUGAAUCAUUUACAUAUUCUACGUUCAAAUUCUCUUUGAAUUUUGCACCUUUCAAACGGACCCGGAGAUCGAAACUUAUCGUACGUAAAUAUACUUCUCCUCUGUGGAACUGAACGCUGCUGUCGCCCAUAUCCAUUCGAAUGCAUACCAUUUUCGGGCUCAGUUCAACUUGGCACCUGGGCCACAGGAACUACUGAAGUUAUCUAUAGUAGACAACCGGGUAAAAAUCUAAAAAUCGGUUUAAAAUCUAGCUAAAAAGAUUUUCAUUAAAAUAUAAAAAAAGCGUUUGCGAGGACUUAAUAAAAAUGUGAAAUCGUGGCACAAACACA